rnacentral:misc_RNA from 1 species
AACUGAUACUACCUGCGGGAACCUGCGGAGGGAUCAUUAACGAGUUUUGAAGUGGGAUUGAUGCCGGCCUUCCGAGGCAUGUGCUCGUCCUCGCUCAUCCACUCACAACACCUGUGCACUGUUGAGGUGUGGCCCCCCUUCAAUGGAGCCGUUCCCCCCUAGGGGGUCGAGCCGGGGUCAGGCCUUCUUCGUCACAAACAACUUGUAAUGUCUAUUCGGAAUGUAAUGCUUCAUGUUAAU